ACACUGAUGGUGAAGCGGUUAUCAUGCUUGCCUUCCACGGAUACUUCAUAAUCCUGAGAGCAAGCGGCAGGGGUUCGACUCCCCUUCAGUGUA